UUUUUUUUUUUUUUUUUUUUUUUUGCAAUUCGACGUUGCCAAUUGGAGAAGGUCUUACAUCUCCAUCUUCGGCGAGUGGUGAAGUAUAUAACGACAUUGCUGAGAUGUUCUGAACAAUCUACAGAGGAACUUGAUAUAGGUUCUUUUAUGACAAUCUACAGAGGAACUUGAAAAUAAGUUCUUUUAUGGCAUCUUUGUUGCUUUUUCAUGUGACACUGAAACAGUUCCAUCAAGGAGCUAAUAAGUUUUUCACAGGCCAAGCUGAAUUAUGUAUCUUGCAUUAAGUUGUCAAGAUGUGUGACGAUGAAACUUAUCUUGCAGGUAAUCUUCCUUCUGACUCAACCUCUAUCUCUGGUGGCUUGGACUCCUACAACAACAUCUCAUUUAUGACAAUGACUCUGAGGAUGCUGCAUUGCCUAAUCCAGAAGUUUAUACGGGAACAGUAGCAAACGACCAAGUAGCAGGCAAGCUGUCGGUCAUGUGCUGUGUUAUCACUUAUCAGUUGCAUGUUUUGAUGUUUAAAAUCUAGACGUUAUUUAGUCUGAUUUCAAAGUAUCUGUGGACUCAAGUUAAUACUGUCAACGAGGGAGAAAGCUUGGUAAAUGGGGACUUGAGUGCAGACGCUGGAAAUCAUGAUGCGGACUCAUCCAGUCAUACAUCUUUUGAAGAAGCUCACCCUCUCGAGAGACUACAAAAAGUUGUUGGAUCCUUAAUCCAACGUUGGACUUAUAUGUGAAUAAUUAUGAGUUGCAAAUUGUCAAAUAAGAUUAAGUCCAAUUAAAGUGAUCAAAUAUAGUUUGGACUUAAUGUAUCUAAUAGGAUGUGGGCCUUUAAUGUGUAGAAACUUAAGGACUCCUAUUUCUAUGUUGGGCUAAAAUAGGGCUCCAAAAGGUAACAGGAAUAUUACCUAUAAAUAGGGUUAUGGUCCCCAGGUCACGUGGAUUAUUCUUUUGUCGUAUUUUCUAGUACCACAAAAUAUAGCUCUUCCCUGAUAUCCCAUCCUCAGGAAAGAUACCAGAGAGACACUAAAGGGUUCUCUCAAGAAUCGGCGAAUACGUGUUGACAUGGAAAGCCACCCCAAUAUCUUUAGAGAUUCAUAUAUCAGUUUGUCGAUAUGAAUCCAGGUACGCUUCUGCAAUUUUUUCUGUUUAUUUAUUUAUUAAUAAUCGCCAUAUUGAUUUUGGGUUUACUAGGUGAUGGCUUUCACCAAAGAUUAAUAUAAAUUGCCACCCUAACAAGUGGAUCCUCCUGUGAGAAUUCUCUUAUUAGCUUUAUGUAGCUCUUGUUCUGUGUUGUAUCAUUUUAAUAAGGAAGGUGACUUGUCUAAAUUAAAUAUCAUUAGGACCCUCCUCGAUGAUAUUCUUGACCUCCAAUUAGAGUAUUAUUUCCGUUUAUGAUUUUCUUUAGAUCCUUCUGUUUGUUGAUGCUGUUUUCAAUGAGAUUAUGCAGUAUGUAGAUGAAGUUAGGGCAAGGGAAUACUACAUCCAUGUUGCAGUUCCUGAUUUGACAAUGUCGCACUUGGAGGCCUGCUUGUCAAUAGAAGACCUGACCACGAUCGCUUACAGUGGUUGGAGUUUUGGAAACUUAACAGAGGAGGUAAUGAUCCAUAUUUGGCAUUUGGACUUGAUGCAACGAAUAUGGCUUUUUCUGUUUUCUUUAUUUUUUGAAGAAAGUAAAGCUUUGAGUGCUGUCUCAGUGCCUUUGCACAUAGCAAAGUGCUUCAGUUAUCAUAGAAACAAAAAUUACACAAAAAUAAUAAUAAUAAUAAAACAAGUAAAGAUAUCUUUUUUAGAGCUUCAGUUUGAUUUGAAAGAUAUUGAAGGAUUCGUGGGAAGCAUGCAUAGCAGGAAAGCGUUGGGCGUUAUCUAGAAUGAUAGGUUUCAGAAAUGUUAUAUAUUCUCGUUGUCUUUUUUUGUUUUAAAUAUGUUAGAAGCAAAUUAAAAUCUGUCUAACCAUAUGCCCAUUUGGAGGUUUUUACAAGAAUUAACUACACCUAGAAAGAAUAGAAUCAUGGAUCUUGUGAAAUUUUCUUAUACCUCAUAAAUAAUCUAGACAACUAAAAAGAUUUGAGAAGAUUUCAAAUCUUUCGCCAAAUCCCUCAAUCCAAACACAACUACAGUACACAUGGUAAGUUCAUGUGAAUUCACUUUGUAGGAGGUCUGUCUCCACAUAAAGGGACUUAUUCGUAAAGAGGAAGCUAGGAUUCCAUACCAUCUCUAGUCGUUUAAAGACUAGAGUUUAUACUCCAUUUGCGAAUGGCUUGGGCACAACACAAGUUCAAGUGACAAGCAGGAGAAGUGCAGCGUAUGCAUGGUAAAUAGCACAUCUUUUCGUCCACGUUGCAUCUUUUCCCUGAGUUUUCGUGCUUCCCUUUGAAUGAUCAUAUCCGCUAUUGAGCAGGAAACGUAUAAGAUGAAUGACAGCAUUACUGAUCUUUACUAUUGUGAGCACAACUUCCAUGCAGAUUGUAUUAAAGAUCGGCUGCUACAAACGAAUACUUGCCCGAUGUGCAAAUCAUUAGCUAUCAUACCUAACCAUUUUUUAGAUUGAAAGGGUAAGAAGGUCGUUUAUAGCUUUUACAAACUUCAGAUCAUCCGAAUUUGCAUUCCGCAUUCGUUCCACAAGUUCGAAGCUCUCCAUCCCCAGGUCGGAAAAGAACUGAAGCAAGGUAGGUAUAAUAUCACCAAAUUGACUGCAAAAAAUAUCACGUAAUUAAGAACAAGUAGUACACAUGCAGUAUGUGUAGUAAAAAAUCCAUUUGAAAACUUACACCAUUGUUGCUGAUGAUUUGAGAAUUGAGAGUUGAAAGAUUAAGAUGAAGAAGACAGCACCAUGUUUUUGAAAUUGAUCGUUGAGGAGGGAAAUGAAAUAAACGACGUACCACUCUAUAUAUACACACACAGUCAGUUAGUUAGUGUCAGUAGGCCAGAGUCUAGAUCACAACUUCACGCAGAACGCCUCUUCCAUCUUUUUUCUUUUCUUUUUUUUAAAAUUUAUUUUACCGUCACAUGCAUGCAAAUUUUUUUUUCCUUUUUUGUGGGGGAGGGGGCUUUGGGUUGUUUUUGGGGGGGGGGGUGUGGGGUGGGGGCGGGGGAAGACAUGCAUGCAAUGUUCGAAUACAUUUCUUUCCUUAUUAUUAUAUAAUUCGCCAACCACGAUAACUUGAGAAAGAAGCAAAAAGAGAAGAAGAAAAACAAUGAUGCGCUAUUAAUAUAUUUUGGUAACAAUCUUUUUUAGUCGCGCUCUCAUCUCUCAAAUGCUCUAAGAAUUCGAAAAUCGAAACAACGAUUACUAUUUCACCACCUUUACUAUUUCACCACCUUAUUCCGUACUUUUCUUCAUCUAGUCAACUUCCUUGAGCUCUCUUCUCUUUUCUGAGCAACGAAUUUGCCUACCAAAAGAUUAUUUUGCAAGUUAUAUUCAAAAUAGCUUAGUUUAAUUUCUCCUCGAAAGUAUACUAAAACCAAUUAUAAACUUAAAAGUUUUUUUUUUCUAAAUGGCAAUUUUUCUGAUAUAGUGUUUAAGCAACAAAUGCGUAGCAUCCAAAUUAGUUCAUAUCACUCCCAAACAAAGGUUUUGCAAAAAAUAAAUAAAUAAAUAAAAUGCUUUUUUUGUGGAAGAACCAUAUUUACCAGUAAUGAGUUACCGCGGGGACUUGGGUCAUUGAAGCGUGGAUUAGCUAAUAUACUUUAAUAGUUUUGAGGUUAGGAAAUAAACGAAACAGCAUUGAGACCAGUCCCGUCAAAGAAGUUUUUUGAAGUUUUUGUUUUUUCCUUUGUGUUGGUGGGGUGUUUUUGUUGUGUGUGUGUGUGUGUGUUUCCCCGACAUCCAAAACAAAUGUACAAAUCAAGGUGAGUGGAAUUCGAAUAUGGCAAUUUUUCUUUGAUUAUAAUAUAAUCUGCAUAUGCGUCUCUCACUCUGAGAGAAAAUUUCUCUCUGUCCUAGAGAGAGAAAGUCCCCCUUGUGGGUGGGUUCUCGUUUAGGAAAGUUCAACUCUCUAGGUUUAGGCGCCAUUUUUAAAAUCUUUCUAUUCCCGGAAACUAACAAAUUCCUUCCAUUACUCCUGAUCACGUAGUGGUGUUUGCUCAAGAUAGCUUUUGUUAUUGUUUGAUCCGCUGCGAUGAGAUGUGGUCUACUUGCAUCUAAUCGUUUAGCUCCUGUGUUUCGAUUAUCGUUUUGUUCGCUUUGUUUUUUCUACUCUGAUCUUUUUGUUUCUCUCCGUGUGUGGCAGUAUUGGCUGGUGCUGGGAGCUAAUAAGGAAGCAUCGAAGGACUCGGACGGACUCUGGCUUUGUGCUGGAUUGGUAGCUACUGGAAUUCUCAAGUGUAUGGUCUGUGGAAGGAGGAAUGGAUAGUAUCAAGGAGGUUUUAAGGAAGUUUAAGCUAUCAGAGGAAGAAAGAGAGGGAGUAUGUUUGGAGGAGGAGGAGAUGGCGCAAGGCGUCAGGGAGUGCGAACUGAGUCUGAUUGGGAAAGUCUGGGGGGAUAAACUAGCAAAUAUUGGAGGUAUUAGGAGUUUUGUAGGGGUUAUGUGGCCUCAGGUGAGGAAUCUGAGAGUGGUGGAGAUUGGUCGCAAUCUGUUUCAAUUCCUGUUUGAAAAGGAGAAGGACAUGGAUCUGGUUUUGAAUAAGAGAUCGUGGAUCUAUGAUGGUCAACCUCUGAUCCUAUUGCGGUGGAGAGCUGGCCUGGAAGAGGAGGGAGAGGCCUUGAGUAAAACUUUGAUAUGGAUUCAGCUCUGGAAUAUUCCGAUCCAUUGGAUUACCAAGGAGGUUGGCAGGAAGGUUGGAAGUAUUUUUGCAAGGGUGGAGGAUGUGAUAAUUCCCCAGGGAGGGGGAAAAGAUGGUAAACAUCUAAAAAUCCUUACUGAAAUUGAUCUGACAGUUCCUUUACCAAGGGGAAUUAUGGUUAAGAGUAAUGGAAUGGUGAAGUGGAUUGAAUUUAAGUAUGAAAAAUGCCCUGACUUCUGCUUUUGUUGUGGUAGAGUUGGGCAUAAUGAGAGAAGCUGUGGGAGGAAAGGUUUGGAUAAGGAGAGAGAACCUCAGUAUGGGAAUUGGCUGAGGGCCAGCUAUCCUAGAAGUCCUAACAGGAAGAGUAGGAACGGGAAUGACCAUAGGGAGGAUGUAAGGGAGGAAUCCCAAUUUCAGCCUAAGGAAGAGGAUAGGACUAAGGAUAAUCAGCUGCUGUUGACUUAUACAGCAGCUUUUCAUGAGAGGGAGGGUGUGGGAGCUAACAGUAGGGGAGGGGGGAGCAGUAAGGGUCAGCUGGGGGGAAGGGAACCUCUAAUUGAGCAGAUUAGUGGGAAGGAUGGGGGUUUUGAAGGUGAGGUGGGGAAGGAAAUGGAGAGGAGGAUGGGGGAGGAAGGUGAUGGCAAGCUAGGAAGAGGGGGUAGUGGUGGUCAGGGUGGGUUAAGGGUGGAAAAGGACCAAAAGCUGCAUCAGGGGGUGAGCCAGGGUGAGGGGUCAGUGGGAGAAAUGACUGAUUUUAUGUGGAUUGAUGGGGUGAGGAAUGAGGGCAGAGUGUUGGGGGAGGGGAAGGAGGGUAGAAGAUGUAAGGGGGUGAUGGAGGACAGGGAGAAGCAGGGAAAGCAUGGGGGAAGAGGGAAAGGAGUGCAUAAGGCAAACAAAACAUGGAAAAGGCUGGUUAUGGAAGUCAGUAGGAGAAGACCUCUGGUUGUAGUCAAUGAGGUGGAGGGGGGGAGCGAGAGAGGGAAAAGGAAGAUAGAAACAAUGGAAUGGGAGGAUGGGGGGAAUUGGAGGGGAAGGAAAAUAUGAAGAAAAUAAAGGCAGAUGGAGGGAGCGGUGAGGGGAUGGACAUAGCUGAGGGGUUGGAGCCCACCCUUAUUGGGGCUCCAAGUGUUAUAUGAGAGCUAUGGUGUGGAACUGUCGAGGUGUGGGGAGCCCCUUGACAGUUCCCCAACUGAGGGAGGUCAUAAGACUCCACUCUCCAUCUUUGGUUUUUUUGUCAGAAACAAAAAAGAAAAAAAGCUUCCUGAACAGUGUUAAGCAAUGGAUUAAGUUUGAUAAUGUGUUUGUGGUUGAUCCAGUAGGACUGGCUGGGGGAUUGGCUGUACUAUGGAAACAGGAAUUGAAGGUGAAAAAGGUGCUUUUUACCAGUUUCACUAUAGAAUUACUGAUUGAUGAUUGGGAGAUUGGUGCUGAGUGGUGGUGUAUUUGUGUCUAUGCGAGUACAAAUGCUAGUGUUAGGAGGGAGCAGUGGAAGGUAUUGGAAAGAAGAAGUUGCAUUUGGGGGGAAUCCUGGGCAAUUCUGGGGGACUUGAAUGAUAUCACUUCAAAUGCUGAAAAGUGAGGAGGCAGGGAACGAGCUGAUGUGAGUUUUCAUGACUUUACUACUUUUAUCAAUGGUAAUGAACUGGUAGAUAUUGGCUUUGAAGGUGUUCCUUGGACCUGGUGUAACAAUUGGAAAAGUGAGGGGGAGGUGAAGGAAAGGAUUGAUAGGAUUCUGGGAAAUACAGGGUGGAUUAGGAGGUUUGAGAAGGCAAAGUGCACUCACAUAGAGACUGAGGCUUCUGAUCACUGUAUUCUGCUGCUAGAUACUAAGCCUGAACGGAGAAGGUGGAAGAGGAGGUUCAUGUUUGAUAGGAGGUGGUUACAACACAGUGAUAUAGAAGAGGUUGUAGGAGGUGCUUGGGAGAGGCAGCAAGGGGGUUCAAGGAUGUACAUGGUUCAAUCCAAGAUUAGAAGAGUCAGAAUGGAUCUGCUUGGUUGGAGUAAGCAGAAGUGCGGUAAUUCAAAAAGUCUGAUUCUAAAGGUAAAGCAAGAAAUCCAAGAGGUUAAGGAGAGUAGAGGUGAUGGUUAUAGAAUUAAGUUAGCAGGUUUGAAAAGGAAGUUGGCAGAGGCUUAUAAGCAGGAGGAGAUAUAUUGGAGCCAAAAGGCUAGGGUGAAGUGGUUACAAGAAGGGGACAAAAAUACGAGUUAUUUCCAUGCUAAGGUGGUGGGGAGGAGAAGGAUGAAUAGGAUUAGUGUACUGAAAAAUAGCAGUGGUGUGUGGUGCAAGGAUGAAGAGGAAACUUGUCAGGAGAUAGUUGAGUAUUUUCAGCACAUUUAUACGUCUGAGAGGCCUGAGGAGUUUUCUGAGAUCUUAGAGGGAAUUCCACAGACCAUCACUGAUGAGAUGAACAUGAAGCUCACCAGGAAGGUCACAGAGCAGGAGAUCAGUCAGGCAGUAUUUUCGAUGCAUCCUAAUAAGUCUCCUGGACCAGAUGGUAUGUCACCAGUUUUCUUUCAAAAGUUCUGGUCAAUUUUAAAAGUUGAUAUCAUCUGUGCUGUUAAUAGCUUCUUUGAUUCUGGUUUUAUCCUAAAAUCUAUUAAUGAGACCCUUAUUAGUCUUAUCCCCAAAAUUGAAUUACCUAGCACUAUAGCAGAUCUUAGACAUAUAAGUCUGUGUAAUGUGCUGUACAAAAUUAUCUCUAAAGUAAUUACCAAUAGGUUCAAGCAUGUCCUGAACUAUUGUAUUAGCUGUCCUCAGUCUGCUUUUGUUAAUGGGAGGCAGAUUUUGGAUAAUGUUCUUAUAGCUCAUGAGGUUAUUCAUUUUCUCAAAAAUAAGAGGACAGGGAGAGAUGGGUAUAUGGCGAUCAAAAUUGAUAUGGCUAAGGCCUAUGAUAGAGUCGAAUGGAAUUUUUUGGCCAAAGUCAUGUUGAGAAUGGGGUUCUGUCCGAAGUGGAUUCAGUGGGUGAUGCAGUGUGUUUCUAGUGUCACUUAUGCAAUAAAUUUUAAUGGGGAAAAGAGAGGUUUUAUUAGGCCAACUAGAGGUUUGAGGCAGGGUGAUCCUUUGUCCCCUUAUCUCUUUUUGAUAUGUGCUGAAAGUUUUUCUUCUCUGUUAAAGCAAUCAGUUGUUCAGGGGAAGCUGACUGGGAUUAGGAUUGCAAGGGAAGCUCCUAGGCUGUCUCAUCUAUUUUUUGCAGAUGAUGCGUUGAUCUUCUGCAAAGCAACUGCUAUGGAAGCUGGGCAGCUAAGGAGAAUAUUAGAGGUAUACAGGGAGGCUUCGGGACAAUUGAUCAAUAUGGAGAAAUCUUCUUUAUUUUUUAGCAGGAAUGUGGUGCAUAGAUAUAAGGCAGGUGUAUUGAGGGAACUACAAGGGAUGAAGGAGGCACAACAAAGUAGGUACUUAGGGCUGCCUUUGGUUAUUGGAAGGUCCAAAAGGCAGACCUUUGAUUUUGUUAAACAGAAAACUUUAGGCAGGUUGGAAGGGUGGAAAGAGAAGCUUUUGAGCCAGGCUGGGAAGGAGGUGCUGCUCAAGUCAGUUAUCAUGGCAUUACCUAUCUAUGUAAUGUCAUGUUGUAUACUUCCAAAGGACCUGUGUAGGCAAAUUAGUUCUGGGAUGGCAAAGUUUUGGUGGGGUCAAAAGGAAAAGAAGCACAGAAUCCACUGGUUGAGCUGGGGAAGGUUGGCUGAUGGGAAGGAAGAAGGAGGUCUAGGAUUUAGGGAGUUGCAUGAGUUUAAUUUGGCUUUGCUGGCAAAACAACUAUGGAGGAUUUUAACUAGGCCCAACUUGCUGAUGAGUAAGGUUAUGAGAGCAAGAUACUUUAAGGGAAUUUCAAUAUGGGCAAUGAAGAGUCAGAGUACGGAUUCUUGGUAUUGAAGAAGUUUACUGAAAGCAAGGGAGUUACUGGAGGAGGGAAUAAAGAAAAGGGUUGGGGAUGGAAAAUCAAUUGAUAUUUGGAAUGAUAGGUGGUUGCCAAAUUCUGGGAAUGGGAAAGUAAAAACUCCAAGGGCUGAAGGGGUGGCUGUCCAGUGGCUGAGUGAACUCAUUAAAGAUGGGAAGUGGGAUAGGGAGCUAAUUGCAGAAGUUUUUGAAGAAAAUGAAGGGAAGGACAUAGUGAGGAUACCUCUGAGUGUAUGUAGUAUGAAAGAUAGGAUAUAUUGGAGCAAGUCUAGUACGGGUGAAUAUACAGUAAAGUCAGGUUAUAGGUUGGCAAAAUGUAUGAGGAAGGAAGUGGCUGGUGACAGGAGCAUUGCUGAGUCAAGCAGCAGUAGGAAGUGUUCAGCUCAGAGCUGGUGUUUUUUGUGGGGAAUGAAUUUGAAGCAAAAGUUGAAGCACUUCAUCUGGAAAUGUUUACAAAAUAUCCUGCCAGUGAAUGCAAGUAUAAAGGCAAGGUGUGCUAAGGGGGAUCAUAUGUGUGGUUGUUGUGGGGAGCAUCCAGAGACUGUUGAACAUCUGCUGUUUUUCUGUGAUCAUGCGAAGGCGAUUUGGGAGAUGGCACCAGUAAGCUGGGAGGGGUUGGUAAUUCACAGAAAUAAGUUCUGGCACUGGUGGGAGGAAUUGAAAGAUGCAGUGUAUAAGGAGCAGGGACAGGAGCGGAUUGCAGUGACAAUAAAUUUGUUAUGGCAGAUAUGGAAGUCUAGGAAUGCAAGGCAGUUUGAAGCUAAGGCUAGGGACCCUAUGACAGUUGUCCAAAAAGCUGUUGGGGAAUGGAGGGAGUAUCAGGACGCUCAGGUGAAGGAGGGGGAACCAGUUAGUGGUAAUAGGGUGGGGAAGGAGGAGUUGAGUGAAUGGAAAGAACCUAGGGAGGCUUGGGUCAAGAUAAAUUCAGAUGCUGCUGUCCAUCAGAAUAAGGAUAAAGCAGGUUGGGGAUUGGUUGCGAGGUCUUGGCAGAAGGAGCUGGUGGGAGUUUGGGCAGUGCCAGGUGUAAGUUGUUCGAAUCCAAAAGUGGAGGAGGCUUUGGCUCUAAGAGCAGCCAUGCUAGUAGCCAAAUGUCAAGGGUGGAGAAGGGUAGAGUUUGAGACAAACUGUAAGCAAGUUAUUGACAGGAUAAAUAGUGGUGAAAAUGAUGUAGAAAUUGCAACGGUGCUCUCAGACAUAGAAAAGCUGAAGCUCAGUUUUUAUGAAUGUUGUUUUUCCUUCACUAGAAGGAAAAGCAACUCUGUUAGUCAUCAAGUAGCUAAAUUUGCUACAAAUUUGAAAGAAACUGCUGAAUGGAAGUCUGACUUCCCAGUUUGGUUGCUUGAGUUGGUGCAAGCAGAUUGUAGGGGCAGUUGCCCCAAAAAUUGUAAGUUGAGUUAGUCUAUAAAUGAAAUGUUGCUGUUUUGAUAAAAAAAAAAAAAGGUGAGUGGAAUUCAACCAGAGAAUAAUUGCUCAUAAUAACCACCAAUAACCAUGAUAAACUCAUGAGGACAGAAAGUUGCUUGUUUGUAAUAGUCGUAACUCAAAUGAGAUGUUCGAUUACUAUUUCACUUAAUUUUCUCUGGGAGAAAAAUCAAUAAUUUGCUCUUGUUUAAAUCCAAAUCAAUAAUGUGCUCUAAUUGCGUUAGUUUCAUUAGAUUCAUUCCAUAAAUACUUUUAUCAAGACUUGUGGACCUAAAACUUUUCGAUAGAGUCUAACACCAAUGAAGAUCUACUUUUUGGCUCUUUUCCCAAGAGACUCUAAGUGUGUUGAGACAGAAGAUUAUCCAAAACAUAAAAUGCACGAUAAAAAGAUAAUUGACAAAAAUUUAAAGUAAUUAAAAAAAUAUGUUAAUAAUAUAAUCAUUAAAGUAGAUAUAAUUUUGCAAAUAAUCUUGAACGCCUGAUUAUAACUAGUUCAAUUGCCAAGGGUGUAGUCCCAUGUAACACAUAGAAUAAGAACUAUACAGGCAUUUUCAUGAUGUUAGGACAGUUUUCUGCCGCCAUUUGAAUGAGAGGUUUUUUUUUUUUCGUUGCAACAAUAACAUUUUGGUUGGCUAAUCUUUGCUUUCGGCAUUUGAUUUUCUGUUGCAUGAGUUUAUAGAUGGCAAUUUUGAAAAUAGGUCUAUCUAAGUUUUGACCGCAUGUAUACUUCUCCUACUCUGAACUAACUAAACGACAUCGUGAUGCGGGAAAUAAUUAGCAGUAAUUGAAACUCUCACGAACAGAGUAUUACUAUAGAUCGGAUUGAACUACUGCGUCUGUACUUGACGCCAACUCUUUAAUUCGCACUGGCAAUAAAUCCUCGAACGCCGAACGCCGGCCUCCGGCCGUCAGAAAGCCUUAACAAUGUCAUGGCUAGCUCGAUCCAUUGCCAACACUCUCAAACUCGACGAAACCGAUGACCACGAGGGAAGCGCCGUCGUUUCCAAUCUCAAUGAACGCGACGCAGAACACGAAAAACAGCAGAAUCAAAACCUCGAUCCAUCAUCAUCAUCGCCGACUUCAACUCCACGUGGCGUCAAGGAUGACAUCUCCGAGCUCACCAAAACCCUAACCCGCCAAUUUUGGGGCGUCGCCUCAUUCCUCGCCCCGCCCCCUCAGUCCGAACCCUACAAGCCUCUCCAAGACUCAGAAUCCACCACUCCCCGAGGAAAAUCAAUUUCCAGAUCCGAUCAGGAUCAAUUAGAUUCCCAAGCCAUUGGAAUAACAGGAAUCCGGAACGAUUUCGCGGAGAUUGGGGGAAAGUUUCGCAGUGGGAUAUCGAUACUGUCGAACACCAUAGCUGUGUCUGAGUUCACGAAAAUGGCGUCUGAUCUUCUGCAAUUGGGAUCGGAUAAUGAGGAAGAGGAAGGGGAAGGCAAUAAUGCUUUGUCGAGUGGCGGUGCUGUUGGGGUGACUAAUGAAGUGGUAUCUUUUGCAAGAGAUAUUGCAAUGCAUCCUGAAACUUGGCUGGAUUUUCCACUACCUGAAAGUGACGAUGAUGAUGGUAAUUCCUGUUUGUACUACUCAAAUUAUUAUUGUUACUAUGUUUUUUGCCGUUUCGAACCUAAUGUGUAUAUUUUGGACUGGGUCUCGUUGUCUACUUUUGCGUUGACUCUUGAUGAUUUUGGUGGGCUAGUUAGAGCUUUUAGUGUUGGACUAGGUUGAUUUAACUUUAGCUGUGGAGAAGCACUUCGGCCAGUGGGCGGAGUGCAGAUUGAGAUGCAACGUAAUUCUAUAAGAGUGUGUGUUUUGGCGAUCUGUUGUUCAUCCUCCUGAUGCAUAGUACAAUUUCUUUUUUGUGCUUAAUAGAAAAACAGCUUUUGUUUAACCAUUGUCAGCUUUAAUUCUACUGAGUUUUUAUGAGGACAUUUCUGUUUCUCUAGACGAAAGGUGUAUUUGAUUGGAGAAAACAUAUCAUUUUUUGGCAUAAAAUCGGGGAUGCAUAGAGGGCAACAAUUUGGCACCAGAUGUCCGGAGGCAUGAUUACUGCAACUGAUCCUGGAAGGCUUCAUUGAAUAUUUCAUUUAUUAGACUCAGCUCAAAUUGGCAAGGACUCACUAUUUAUGUCAAAUGCUGGUUGUUGGGUUUUCGUUAGAAGUGGCAACAGUUCUAACUUGUUGCCCCUGACUUCUCAGAAAAAAGAAUUACUGAUCAAGUUGGCAAAGCUGAAAAGUGCUGAAGAAAUUAACAUGGUGGUUAUUAGCUGCCAGUGGUGUUGCCUUUUUCACCUUUUUCUUCUCCUAAUCCCAAAAGUGUCAUCUCUUUUCCAAUUGAAAAAAGUCCCUUCUUAUUCACUUUCCCUACUCCCUUCUUGUUUGCGUGUUUAAUAAAUUUAUGUCGCAUAAGAAAAUUUUUUUGCCUAGCUUUUGAUAAAAAAAAAUUAACUCACUUCAAAGUCUGAUUUCCUAUAUUUGUCUGUCGAUUUAUAUUUCUUUAAUUAUUGGUUUGUUAUUUCUGAGUCAUAAGGUUUUGUAACAUGCCAUAUUUGGCUGCAUGGUAACUCUGACCAUUACUGCAUCAGUAUAGCCUUUGUUCCAUAAUUUUGUGAAUCCAGCUUAUUAUGAUCAUUAUCUCUUCUAGAUUUAGUACAGGAAAGAUAAAUAUAGUGUGAUCUCCAUGGUGAUCAUUUGCUUGCUAUGUGAUGCUAGAUUUUGACUUGUCUGAUGCUCAGCAAGAACACGCUUUAGCUGUUGAACAACUUGCCCCAAGAUUAGCUGCUUUGAGGAUUGAACUUUGCCCAGGUUAUAUGAGUGAGAGUUGCUUUUGGAAGAUAUACUUUGUGCUUCUUCACCCUAGACUGGAUAAGAAAGAUGCGGAACUACUAUCAACCCCCCAGGCAAGUUGGUUACAUGACAUGGUGAUUCUAUUUUAUUUCAAUGUAAAAGAUAAUACAUUCUCAAUGUUGUUGAGGAACCAAUUUUCUUUAAACAUUGUCCUUUUGUGUACGUUUAUUGAGUUCAGACGUAAUAGCCUAUGAUUUCCUGGAGCCAAGAAGGUGGUAUUGGUUCUUGUUUGUGGUUAUGUUGAAUGUUGCAAUACUUCUGUACGUUCCUGUUGUCUUCAUUGAUAAAAUUGACAAAACAUUUUAGCUGAAACUAAUAUUUCUGGGAGCCCGUUGACAUGAUCUGACCUUGAAUGAGAUAGCAAUGGCAGUUGUUUUAACUGAAUAUUGCUUAUCUGUUGUUUGUUUGAAGUUUUGAGUUUUUCUGUAAGAGUUGAUGAGCUGCUCAUGCAAUCUUCAUUUUGCUGUCUGGCAUCGUACUUUAGCAUUCAAUAUUCUCUAUAAAACUAAACCAAUUGCAACUGGGCUAUAUUUGUUAAUUUCUUUUAGAGAGGAGAAAAGGGGCACAAGUUAGAGAUGCCCUGUGUUUGUGUGAUAGAGAAUUUAAUUGGUAUGAUAUCUGAACAGUUCAGUUUCAAGUAUAAUUUAGGGAAUCUUGUAAAGAUAAAGAAAGACUGGACAUUAUGCCUUCUAUUUUCAGUUUGGAUGAGUUGGAUGUUUACAUAAGAAUUCAUGUGUUAGGUGGUCUUAGUCUUUUGUCUGCCCUCUUAUGUUGUCCUUGCAGAUAGUAAAAGCCAGGGCCUUGUUAUCCCAGGGAUUGAAGAACCGUUCCAAGGCAAAACAACAAGACUGGUCUGGGGAGGGCAGUAUUGAUGUUCAAGAUAGUUCCAACCAUCAACCCGAAGAACCCCUAUUAGUACCUAUCAAAACUGAGUAUGAUAAUGUUCCCAAAACAUCUUUUACUGAAUCUGUAACUUCCACUGCUGCCAUCGAACAUGAGAUAGAGAAGCACCCUGUCAUGAGUGCUGAAAUUGCUAUCGUUGACAAAUCGGUGAUUGAAGAAAAAUAUGUUGACCAGACUAAGGAUCAAAGUAUACUUUUUGAUUCAAGUAAUGUAUUGGUAGAGAAAGAUGAGGAUGAUGCUGAUGAUUGGUUGAAGGAAGAAAGCUCUGGAGCUGGUGCAGGUGGAGCUACAAUUCCCAUUGAGAAUGAUGAGGAUGUGUCAUUUAGUGAUCUUGAAGAGGAUGAUAUGGAUGUGCCUGCUAGCUUUAAGAAAACAAGUCACAGUCCGGACAAAGAUGCACGAGAUUGGGUUCAACUGAGAAAAAGCUCUUCUGACUUGUCUAAUAGUACGCAAUCCGGGGCCAUUGAAACUGCUGGAUCUAAGAAGGUAAUUCCCAAGAACCCUGAGUCGAAGGAAUCCAGUGAUUGGCUUGAUGUUGAUGACAUUGAUGUGGCGUGAUCUUUUAUAUAAUCAGUCAACUGUGUGUGUACAAAACAUGGUAUCUCUACAUUCUACGGGCUUGUGAAUAGUGUACUGUUAAUUUAUUUGGUGCACCUUAAGUCUUGUUAAAUUGUAUGCUGUAAAUAUACUCCUUGAAUGAGCAAUAACUAAACAUCAGGGCAAUUGAUCUGAUAAACUUAAGCAGAUCAAUAACUCAAUGGUAAAUGAGCAAUUAUGUUGAUGUGUUUUCCAAUUCAUGUAGAUGGACAACAAAGAACCAAUUAUUGAGUAGUCGAGAUGCGUAGUAAAGUGGAGCAAUCUUACGCCCUUGGACGUGUGACACUGUAGCCUGUUGGUUGUUGUCCAGUCUGUUGUCCUUUUCCUCAUCUCGUGUAAGCGUUUGGGCCCAUUUACCGAACCAAGCGUUUGGCUAUUCGUGGACUUAUGAAAGGGUUUGAGUUCCACAGCAUCAUUUCCUUGUGAAGGUGUCAACUGACAUGAUUUUCGAAACUAAGUUUUGAUACUGAAUUGGUCCUCUUGGCAGUAUUUAGAACACAUUCUGACACUAUGACAUCAGGGGAGGAAAACUGGCAAAUCUUGUAAUUUAGGCCAUAAGGGAGCUGCGGCGAGAGAGAGAGGAGAUGAAGCGGUAAUAUAUACCAAUUUACACAAAUGCACUAUUAGCAUGACCUGUACUACCAAUUUUCACAAAUGGACUAUAUUUGCCAGAAGCUAGUGCACCUAGAGAUGCUAAUUAUUCACAGAAGAAGAGCUAACAUACAUCAAGUGCUAAGUUGGUCCUUUAUAAAGGACUAGGAUUUUAUGGGCCUGAAAUUGCUUGAGAGCCGCUCAAGGUGCGACCAAAACAAGCUUCCCAACGACAACUUCGGCCUGUCUUCUGUGCCAGCGCUGUUGCGGCCGCUGGUGGAA
rnacentral:lncRNA from 1 species